rnacentral:rRNA from 1 species
CAAGGUUUCCUGGGGAAGGUUCAUCCGCCCAGGGUAAGUCGGGGCCUAAGCCGAGGACGGAAGUCGUAGGCGAUGGACAGCAGGUGUAGAUUCCUGCACUACCGAUGGAAUGAAGCAGUGACACAGAAGGAUAACUCGAGCAGGGUGAUGGUCAACCCUGUGCAAGCAUCGAGGUUGGGUUGUAGUGAAGUACGCAACCCUAUAAGCUGAGAUGUGAUGCGGACCGAAAUUUCAGUAGGGAAGCGAGUGAGUUCACGCUGGCGAGAAAAGCUGCUAGUACAUCCAAAGGUACCCGUACCGGAAACCGACGCAGGUGGGCGAGGAGAGAAUCCUGAGACGAACGGGAGAACCCUUGUUAAGGAACUCGGCAAAAUGACCCCGUAACUUCGGGAUAAGGGGUGCCUGCGAGAGCAGGCCGCAGAGAAUAGUCACAAGCGACUGUUUAGCAAAAACACAGGUAUCUGCGAAAGCGAGAGCUGACGUAUAGGUGCUGACACCUGCCCGGUGCUGGAAGGUUAAGGGAACAUGUUAGAGCAAUCGAAGCAUCGAACCGAAGCCCCAGUAAACGGCGGCCGUAACUAUAACGGUCCUAAGGUAGCGAAAUUCCUUGUCGGGUAAGUUCCGACCCGCACGAAUGGUGUAACGACUUGUGAGCUGUCUCAACAGGGGGCCCGGUGAAAUUGAAGUAUGGGUGAAGAUGCCCAUUACCCGCGACUGGACGGAAAGACCCCGUAGAGCUUUACUGCAGCCUGAUAUUGAGUUUCGGUAACUGAUGCACAGGAUAGGUGGGAGUCUGAGAGACAUGGGUUUCGGCUCAUGUGGAGACGGUGUUGGGAUACCACUCUUCGGUUACUGAAAUUCUAACAUAGCUCUGUGAAACCAGAGGAUGGACAGUGUCAGGUGGACAGUUUGACUGGGGCGGUCGCCUCCGAAAGAGUAACGGAGGCGCCCAAAGGUACCCUCAGAAUGGAUGGAAACCAUUCGAAGAGCGCAAAGGCAGAAGGGUGCCUGACUGCGAGAUUGACAAAUCGAGCAGAGACGAAAGUCGGGCUUAGUGAUCCGGCGGUAUUGAGUGGAAAAGCCGUCGCUUAACGGAUAAAAGCUACCUCGGGGAUAACAGGCUGAUCUCCCCCAAGAGUCCACAUCGACGGGGAGGUUUGGCACCUCGAUGUCGGCUCAUCGCAUCCUGGGGCUGAAUUCGGUCCCAAGGGUUUGGCUGUUCGCCAAUUAAAGCGGCACGCGAGCUGGGUUCAGAACGUCGUGAGACAGUUCGGUCCCUAUCCAUCGUGGGCGUAGGAGUCAUGAGAGGAGCUGUUCCUAGUACGAGAGGACCGGAAUGGACGCACCACUGGUGCAACUGUUGUCGUGCCAACGGCAUAGCAGGGAAGCGAAGUGCGGAUGGGAUAAACGCUGAAGGCAUCUAAGCGUGAAGCCCACCUCAAGAAUAAGACUCCACAAUAGACCCCUGGAGGACUACCAGGUAGAUAGGUCAUCGGUGGAAGCGCUGUAAGGCGUGCAGCUUGAUGAUACUAAUCGGUCGAAAGCUUCAUUU